GACGAACGCUGGCGGCGUGCUUAACACAUGCAAGUCGAACGGAAAGGCCCUGCUUGCAGGGUACUCGAGUGGCGAACGGGUGAGUAACACGUGGGUGAUCUGCCCUGCACUUCGGGAUAAGCCUGGGAAACUGGGUCUAAUACCGGAUAGGAGCCAUUUUUAGUGUGAUGGUUGGAAAGUUUUUUCGGUGUAGGAUGAGCUCGCGGCCUAUCAGCUUGUUGGUGGGGUAAUGGCCUACCAAGGCGGCGACGGGUAGCCGGCCUGAGUGGGUGGACGGCCACAUUGGGACUGAGAGACGGCCCAGAUUCCUACGGGAGGCAGCAGUGGGGAAGAUUGCACAAUGGGCGCAAGCCUGAUGCAGCGAGGCUGCGUGGGGGAUGACGGCCUUAGGGUUGUAAAAUACUUUCGCUAGGGACGAAGCUUUUUGUGACGGUACCUAGAUAAGAAGCAACGGCUAACUACGUG
rnacentral:rRNA from 1 species